AUUGCAAGCUGUCUUAUCGCCUUCCGAUUAUUCGGGGGGAGGAAAGUCCGGGCAACACAGAGCACCGUACCUGGGGAAACACAGGGUCUCGGUUUCGAAAGGAGCCGGGAACAGAAAGUGCCACAGAAAAUUAAACUACCCUCGGUAGUUAUCGGGGGAAAAGGUGAAAAGGCGAGGUAAGAGCUCACCGUCUCGUUUGGUAACAAACGGGUGCAUGGUAAACCUUUCGGGUUGUAAGGCCACAUACAUUUUUGCUCCCGGCCUGGUCGGGAUAAGGGCUGCUCGUCCGAAAUGCUGUAUCAGCAGGUAAAAAGGGGUAGGCUGCGUUAGAUAAAUGAUAGGAACCUUUUUCGGUUAUGCCGGAAAAGGAUACAGAACCCGGCUUAUAGGCUUGCAAUUUUU
rnacentral:RNase_P_RNA from 1 species